UUAAUAAUGGUUUUAGUGUUGAACUCAUCCACCGGGACUCUCCAAAAUCCCCACUCUACCACCCCACUCAAAUUAAUUUUCAAAGAGUUUUCAAUGUUGUACGUCGUUCCAUCAAUCGUGUCAAAUAUUUGAACAAAGAAUUUUCACUUACUACAAAGAAACCUAUAUCAACUUAAACUCCAGAUUUAGGUGAGUAUCUCAUGAGUUAUUCAGUUGGUACUCCACCAUCUAAGGUAUACGGUAUUAUUGAUACAGGUAGUAAUUUUGUUCACUACAAGAAAAAUUGUUAUUACCUACGGCAAAUUUUAUCUUUACCCACGGACUGUCCAUAGGUAACGUAAAAUUACCUACGGAUUACCCACGGACACGAGUUCCUAGCUAAAUCGCUCGUAGGAAAAUAUUUACCGACGGACAAGCUUUGGGACACACUUACUUAGGUAUUGUCCGUGGGUAAUAUGACUCACUGAGUCUCCGUGGGUAACGUUACUCAUAGAUUUGCCGUAGAUAAAAUAAUAUAGUUAUCAGCGGAAAAGUCGUAAGUUACAUUACCCACGGAUUAUCCGUGACAAAGUAUACUAUUUUAUAUUUGAUAUUGAUAAUAUUAUCCAUGAAUUGUCCGUGGGUAAUGAAAAAAUUAUUUUAAUUCUAUUUUUGUUUUUUUUACAGUUUCCUGUAUUUUUUAAUAUAUAUUUAAAAUUAAUUGGAAGCAUAUUAAAAAAGUGAAAUAUUAUGUAAAUAGUGUUUUCAAAUUACACCUCCUGACUGCCACAAGUUUCAAAAUAAGGGCAACUUGCACUACCAUAAGUUUCCUGAGGUGGUCAAGGACUUCAACCCCGCAGUGCAUGCAUGAGCCUCAGGCAAUGUCGAAAAAUCGUUGGCUUGCAAUCUUUUCAUAACAUCCGUGUAAAGCCAUUUCAACCACUCACCAACAAAUCUGAAAGCAUAUGCAGAGGCUAGUAAUGGGAAGAGCCUAGCUUGUUGUGUUUUAUAAUCUAUCACCUGAAAGGAAUCAAAAAACAGAUAGCAGAGACUGAGGCACACUUAUAGAAUAGAUAUAAGAGAUAUAGUUGGAAAUCAUUGACAGGAAAAACACAUAUCAACCUAGCAUCUCAUUGCUCUUCAACUUUUAUGCUGACAAUGUUGCAAAUCAAGCCACACCAAUUGUUAUUUUGACCGGUUAAAAUAUCUAAAUAGACUUUUAAAUAUCAUAAAGUUUCAUGUCCAAGAAUAGUAUGAAACUUGUCCACCUUCACGUUACAAACAGCAUAUGUUGGAUAGAAAUACUAGAAAUAAUCACCUUAAUUAUGAGUUCGUGUUUGGUUUAGUUUUUUUUAAUAGAAAUAAUCACCUUAAUUAUGUUAAAAUAUAUUUGCAAUUCUUCCACGCAAAAAUUAUUUUUUCCAAUAACAUAAGCUUAACCCAGACAUGCAGCAAAUCAGUAGCAACAUCACAUUAAGCAAACUGGUCCAUUUUCAAUUUGUAUCCUGUAAGUUUGGGGUUCAGUCCUUUUGUAUUACAGUUCACAAAUUCUUUUUAUUUAAAAGAAAAACCAAGGAGUGUCUCUUAAUAAAAUAAGACCGCUCCAGCAACAACCAAUAUUGUGCAUUGACAAAGGGAUUGUACUAAUUACCUGUGUUUCAAGACCUCCAUUAUUUGCCCCAAACUGUCUUCGAACAACACUAUACCUUGUAGCAAUGCAAACAGCUCUCGACAAAGCAGUUGACGCAUCAGAUACAAUUGUCUGUCUCACAUAUACCAUAGUACCGUAAACUAAUUGUCUCGGGACAUUGGAUUGUACAUGUUUUCCUUCCCUUGUAAUUUGUGAAACCCUGAUAGUGUUAAAGAAAAAAAGUCAUACUCAGUAUAUAAUGGACAUAGACGGAUAAGCACAGUGGCGAUUUAAAAUGCAUGAAAAUAAAGUCGGUUUAUCAUGUCCUUGUGAUUAUCAUAUCCUUGUGAUGGAUCCAUCCUUUCAACCCAUAACUUAUCUAAAUGAGAUAUUACCUUUACCAACCCACUAUUUAAACCCCAAUGUUAUUGUUAUUACUUUUUAUGAAUGAAAGGAAAUAGACAUUUACUGCAGAUCAUGCAUGAAUUUGCCUCAGUUGAAGGAAGAGACUAAAGUAACCAUAACAUGAUCGAUGUAUUAACCCUACACGGCAUUUGGCAACUUGCUAAUACUGUGCAUGAUUAUUGAUCAUCAUCUUCCAUUCUUAUAAAAAGGUAAAGUUAGUCAUAUCUUCCAUUCUUAUACUGUCUGCAUCAGUCAUGUUUUAGUGUCACUAUCAACCUAUUUUCAUUUCCACAAAAGCCCUAAAGUCCAAAACAAUGUUUCUUUCUUUUCACAAUUUACACUCUUCCCUUUUCUCUAUUUGAUCAACCACUCAGAUUGAGUCAUACAAAUUCAGUUGCUUCCCUUUUUCCGGUAAUAAAAUCUGCCAUAUUCCUAAAUAUCAGAAUCAAGCAUUUUUCAUAGAGAGGCAGCCAGAAUAGAGAGGCAGCCAGAAUCAAGCAUUUUUCAUAGGUAUCUUUACUUAUGAGUUAUAUAUAUAUUUAUGUCCAUUUAUUCUAUUCUAUUCUAUUUUUCCAGGCAUGUAUUCAGCAACUUGAAUCAAGCAGGAUUAGGCUUAAUCAGAUGGAACAAGAACUAACACAUGCUAGAAAUCAAGUAACAAAAAAUAACAAUAAAAACUUGAUUUACAAAACAACUCUAAAGUCCAAAACAAUGUUUCUUUCUUUUCACAAUUUACACUCUUCCCUUUUCUCUAUUUGAUCAACCACUCAGAUUGAGUCAUACAAACUCAGUUGCUUCCCUUUUUCCGGUAAUAAAAUCUGCCAUAUUCCUAAAUAUCAGAAUGAAGCAUUUUUCAUAGAGAGGCAACCAGAAUAGAGAGGCAGCCAGAAUCAAGCAUUUUUCACAGGUAUCUUUACUUAUGAGUUAUAUAUAUUUAUGUCCAUUCUAUUCUAUUCUAUUCUAUUUUUCCAGGCAUGUAUUCAGCAACUUGAAUCAAGCAGGAUUAGGCUUAAUCAGAUGGAACAAGAACUAACACAUGCUAGAAAUCAAGUAACAAAAAAUAACAAUAAAAACUUGUUUUAUCACACUAGUAUUAAUACAGACUUUUAUUUGUAUACUACUUUUGGAUAUAUCUUGAUCUAUAUAUAAACUAAUUGGAUAUAUCACAAACACAAGAGAGAGUCCUUAAACAACUUCUAAUUCAACCACGUUUUCUGAUAUUUAACUCUUUUCGCUUCCAAUCCAACUAGAUCCUAUAGAUUUCUUAUCUCAAAAAUUUCAAUGCAGAAUCCACUAUAUUUAUCAUGAGUUUUGUUAUGGCUAUACUCAACCUUGACAAACUUGGAAAAUGAGGUUCUGCUUCUGAUUGCAAUUUUCAAUUGGUUUUGUUUAGGAGGCAUGUUCCAGCCCUUUGGAUCUCUGUCCAAAUUCCCAGGCCAGCGUACCUUUGGAUCUCUGUCCAAAUUCUCAGGCCAGCGUACACCUUUGAGACAUUUUCUUAUCCAACUAGAUCCUGGCAUUUUCUUUACAUUUCUUAUCUCCAUUAGUUCUCUCAGACUCACCAUUAGUUCUCAGAUUCAGCAGUUAACUCACAUAACAACUAGAUGUAAAUAAACAAUGAAACUGAACACAAUACCUAAUAUCAAGAUGUAAAUAAACAAUAAAAAUGCAAGAGUUAAACAUGAACAGAGUACCUAACUAUCCUAAUUGAACAUGAACAGCAACCAAGUAACAGACAUUGGUUCGAGAAAGAAGCAGCCAUUGUACUCUAUGGUUAGGGUUUUCAAUACAAAUUGGGGCUUUUUCAAAUAGACUCCAUUUCAGUAAAAAUUGAUUUCAGAAAAUGAAAAGAUAUUAAAGGAAGAUAACUUACCUUAAGAGAUAGCGAUCAUCACGGCAGAGCGAAGCAGGGAUGCGGAGGGUUCGGACAAGAAGUAGGGUUCAGACAAGAAGAAGGGAAGCAACUCGAACGACAAACCCAGCUCGAACGGGAAGCAGCUCGAACGAGAAACCCAGCUCCCUAACCUAAUGCGGCACCGGGUUCAGACAAGAAGAAGGGAAGAAGGGCUUAGGGCUCAUACAAUUUCUGGGUAUUGGUUUACCUUAUACAAUUUCUGGGUAUUGGUUUACCUUAUGGAAAGAGAAAGUUGAUACCUUUAAGAAAUGGGGUUGGUCUGAUCCAGAAGUUCUUAUGGAAGAAGAGUUGAUACCUUAUGGAAGAAGAGUUAACAUCCAUUGAUAAAACUAAUUUAGUGAUGACCUUUUGGGUCAAUCAGUUUGGGGACUUUUUUAAAAAAAAAUCUUUCUUAAUUUUUUUUUUAAAAUCAGACAUUACCUACGGAUAAGUUGUAGUAAAUAUAAUACGAAAAUUUUUGGCAAAAUUUAAGUUAGGAUUGUAUUUUUUUUUUUCAUUACCCACGGAUAUUUUAAUUUUACCUACGGAAUUACCGUGGUAGUUAAUUUAAAAAAAAAAAAUUAUUUUAUACAGCAAUACACACGGGUUUUCCGUAGAUAACAAUUAAUUUACCCACGGAUUACCAUCCGUAGCUAAUUUUCCGUAGGUAUACAAAUGUUUUCUUGUAGUGGUUUGGCUUCAAUGCAAGCCUUGUAAUAUAUGUUACAACCAAACAUCUCCUAUAUUUAACCCUUCAAAAUCUUCG
rnacentral:lncRNA from 1 species